ensembl:lncRNA
GGGGUGGGGGGUGGGGUAUCGUCACGGCCAAAAACUCACAAUUUUGCUGCAGGUUGUAUAAAAAAUUUGUGAUGCAGCGUUUGCUUUUUUUCAGAAAACUACUCGAAUCCGCGAAAUCGCAGUCGUACGAAAUUGUCUUUCGCAGUGAUGUUUGCCGAUAAACGAGACCUUUUAGCUGUACUCAUGUUCGAAUGCACGUGACUCGAAGCCGGCUCCGGCUGUCAUGAUGACGUCACGUGACGUGUCGUGUCACGGCCCAAAUCUGCGUAAAAAUCCUCAGAAUAUCGGAGUUUUUCUGUUAAUUUCUGUGAUCGCAAAAUCGCAGAUUCCUGCCGGUAUUCUUUAGUGUUGAUGAAUUCUCGAUUCUGAUUGGUCGGAAGGUUUCGCAUAGGUUGUACGGUUUAUAUUAACGCGCACAGGAACUUACAUGCGCGACAUAAACGUGUGUAAUCGUUGAAAUGGUGAAGUUUUCUGUAAACAGAUGUUUAUUUAUUUUAUUGGAAGGUGCCCCUAGUGCUCCAGUGUCAGCGCUUUGUAACAAUAGGUAACGCUUUACUUGAAGUUUUCGGGACAGACGAGGCUACGGUUUCUCCGUAACAAAACAAGCUGGUGGUGUAUAGCUGCUAUAACAUAAGCGAGAACAGGAGCUUGUUUCGUUAAAGUUCCACAAACACUAAACAGAUAAAAUAUGAUGUUUUGGUUCGCUGUGGUGUAAGUGGAAUAAAACAUUUCCACAAUAUAACAGUAGGCCACGUUGUUUUAUUGAUGAACGUUUGGUGUGCGUUAAUUCGUGCAGGUUUUAUAUUUUCACCAAAUUAUUUACCUUAACUGCUGUACUCGCCAACAUUAAGAAGACUAUACUUAGUUUUAUCCUAAACAGACAGAAUUUAGGAGGUGUGUGUCUUGUUAAAAGUCUGGAAAAUACCACACAUCUUGCAAGGCCAUUCAUUUCUCCCAAAACAUUCAACUCAAAUCGUAAACCUCCUGCUAGCUGGAGGAGUUCUGCACAGCUACCUAACUCGAUCAAUUCUCCUUCGUCGUUUUUUUUUUUUUUUCUUUCUUUCGCCUUAAAACAGUGCAAAAUAUUUCCAACCUGUGCAAUAGGUCUAGUCCUAAAACAUCCUCAUGUCAUGUCACACAUACUGUAUAUACUGCUUUUAAACAUACAUUAAUAAUAAAAAAAAUUAAUAACAUAUAAUACAUUACAAUAACAUUACAAUAAGUAUUAUACACAGGGAUUAUAAACGCCGAGCGGUGGAUGAGCACUGCGGCGGGAAAUAAAAACCUGCAGAGGAAAUAAAAAGGAUACAACAAAGAGGCCGGGUGCAGCACGCCUGAUGCUUUUAUCUGAAACCUCCUCAACACACACACACACACACACACACUCCCAUUGGGCUGGACAAGAGGACGAGGGCUGUGUGUCUGGCCUUAUAGUCUCCAGCGGCCAUCUGCCAUCCAGAGUCAGGCUGGGGCUUGUGUGUGUGUGUGCGUUUGUUUUAGGGAGACAAAAGCAGGCUAAGCCCUCUGCAGUCUGUCUGCUUGACCUCGACUAGACAGCGCUGAUAGGCGACAGCGUGCUCCAGGGACAUGAUUCGCCAAACAAUGACACACACACACACACAGGUCUGGAGAGGGGGAUGGAGAGAAGGAUGAGGACAGAGAGGAAGGCUGGAUGGUUGGCACACGAGCACAAAAGAAAGCGAAGACUGCAAAGAUACCCCUGUGUGUUAGCGUUAAAGUGUCUCUUUAUAGCUCUCUCACUGGCUCUUUGGCUCUUAUACACACCUACAUGUGUUUAAUGUACGUGUGUGUGUGUGUGUGUGUGUGUGUGUGAGCACACGCUUAUUUCUUGAUGAAUCCUGACUUAACGCUGCUCAUGUUUAUGCAUGUAGCAUGUUUACUAAUGUAACAGCAGUCUGGCUUAUCAUGUCUGAAAGCGGAACACUACCAUGCGGCUGUGUAACAACAAGCGCAUACAUAUUCACUCAAAUCUGCAUAGCGUUAACCUUUCACCUUCGACCCCCAGGAUAGGAGCUAGAUACAUCUGCACGAACACUAUUCAGCCACCUGGUUACGCAUCCAUCCAUCCAAUAAGCCCCUUCUAACCAUUCCGCCAACUACACAUCCAUCCAUUCUUUUAACCAUCCUUCCAUCCGUAUAUCCAUCCUUACACACCAUUCAUUCAGGCAGUCAUCCAUUCAGAUACCCACUCGUCCGUCUGUCCAUCCAAUCAGAUACCCACUCGUCGUCUGUCCAUCCAUUCAG